CUUCUACAUGUCAAUACCGGCAACAAUGAAAUUUUUAGUAAGAGGAAAAUCCGUCGACUUUAAAAAU
rnacentral:tRNA from 1 species